rnacentral:rRNA from 1 species
GUUCGUAAGAACAGGGUAUGACGGAGCGGCGAACGGGUGAGUAACACGUGAGCAACCUGCCCCACAGACCGGGAUAGCCCAAGGAAACUUGGAUUAAUACCGGAUUCCCUCGAACAACCGCAUGGUUGAUCGAGGAAAGGCCUUUGUGCUGUGGGAUGGGCUCGCGGCUUAUCGGCUAGUUGGUGGGGUAAAGGCCUACCAAGGCAUCGACGAGUAGCUGGUCUGAGAGGACGAUCAGCCACACUGGAACUGAGACACGGUCCAGACUCCUACGGGAGGCAGCAGCAGGGAAUCUUGCGCAAUGGGCGAAAGCCUGACGCAGCAACGCCGCGUGGGGGAUGAAGGCCUUCGGGUUGUAAACCCCUUUCAGGAGGGAAGAAAUUGACGGUACCUCCAGAAGAAGGACCGGCCAACUACGUGCCAGCAGCCGCGGUAAUACGUAGGGUCCUAGCGUUAUCCGGAAUCAUUGGGCGUAAAGAGCUCGUAGGCGGUUCAGCAAGUCGGCUGUGAAAGUCCGAGGCUUAACCUCGGAAUUGCAGUCGAUACUGCUGUGACUCGAGUCCGGUAGAGGAGAAUGGAAUUCUCGGUGUAGCGGUGAAAUGCGCAGAUAUCGAGAGGAACACCAGUAGCGAAGGCGGUUCUCUGGGCCGGCACUGACGCUGAGGAGCGAAAGCGUGGGGAGCAAACAGGAUUAGAUACCCUGGUAGUCCACGCC